AUUGAACGCUGGCGGCAUGCCUUACACAUGCAAGUCGAACGGCAGCACGGGUGCUUGCACCUGGUGGCGAGUGGCGAACGGGUGAGUAAUACAUCGGAACAUGUCCUGUAGUGGGGGAUAGCCCGGCGAAAGCCGGAUUAAUACCGCAUACGAUCUACGGAUGAAAGCGGGGGACCUUCGGGCCUCGCGCUAUAGGGUUGGCCGAUAGCUGAUUAGCUAGUUGGUGGGGUAAAGGCCUACCAAGGCGACGAUCAGUAGCUGGUCUGAGAGGACGACCAGCCACACUGGGACUGAGACACGGCCCAGACUCCUACGGGAGGCAGCAGUGGGGAAUUUUGGACAAUGGGCGAAAGCCUGAUCCAGCAAUGCCGCGUGUGUGAAGAAGGCCUGCGGGUUGUAAAGCACUUUUGUCCGGAAAGAAAUCCUUGGCUCUAAUACAGGCGGGGGAUGACGGUACCGGAAGAAUAAGCACCGGCUAACUACGU
rnacentral:rRNA from 1 species